rnacentral:rRNA from 1 species
GACGAACGCUGGCGGCGUGCCUAAUACAUGCAAGUAGAACGCACAGUUUAUACCGUAGCUUGCUACACCAUAGACUGUGAGUUGCGAACGGGUGAGUAACGCGUAGGUAACCUGCCUGGUAGCGGGGGAUAACUAUUGGAAACGAUAGCUAAUACCGCAUAAUAUUGAUUAUUGCAUGAUAAUUGAUUGAAAGAUGCUAUUGCAUCACUACCAGAUGGACCUGCGUUGUAUUAGCUAGUAGGUGAGGUAACGGCUCACCUAGGCGACGAUACAUAGCCGACCUGAGAGGGUGAUCGGCCACACUGGGACUGAGACACGGCCCAGACUCCUACGGGAGGCAGCAGUAGGGAAUCUUCGGCAAUGGACGAAAGUCUGACCGAGCAACGCCGCGUGAGUGAAGAAGGGUUUCGGAUCGUAAAGAUCUGUUGUAAGAGAAGAACGGGUGUGAGAUUGGAAAGUUCACACUGUGACGGUAUCUUACCAGAAAGGGACGGCUAACUACGUG